GCUCUUACCUAUGGAAAGCUGCUGCUCUGGGCUGUGUCACAGCAGGUCUCCUUCCCUAAACCUUUCUCCUUUCUGGAUUCCUCAGGCUAGACUCUCUACACCAGUGCCUGACAAACAACGUCCCUUGCAAGCCUAGAGUUCAGAGUCAGGAGCGCAGUUCUGUCAGGACUCCAAGAGGAUGCUGUGAGGCUCAUUGUCUGACUGGAGAAUGGGCAGUACAAUGAGGACCAUGUCUAAGUGGCACUCAGACCUGGACACGUGUGGAAUGGAGUGGCCAGGCACGGAUGUGAAUGGUCAGUGAAAACUAGACCAUAAGCUAAGAGUCUAGCUCCAUUCUCUGCAGCCUCCAGAGCAGGCUGGUUUCCUUAAUGUCUUUCUCAAGUCCUAAUGAAAACAAGUUGGAGCCGUGGCAGGGGCUGGAGCGGGGGCUGCAGAGUGGAGUUUAUAGGCACUUGCAUUUUCUCAACAGCAUCCCUCUCACUCACACAUUCUUCUACAUUUUUCCCUUUUAUUAAUGUGGCAUCCUUCCCAGGCCACUUUAUGGGACCAUGUGUGUUUCCACUUACGCCCUGAUUGAGUUUGAUGGCAUCUCCCCCUAUGAGGAGCCCUUAGAUCUUGCUCAAGGCCUUCCUGCCUUGCCCUGCAGGGUCUCAUCAUUUCAGUUGCUCCAGGGCUCUUGUGCUCAUCUCUCAACUCAGUCUCAAGCACCCCACAGGUUUCUCACCAUGCCUCCACCUUGGGGUCUUACCUCAUCUGGACCCCGAAUAAGACAACCCAAUUUGAUGACUCACCCGAGUCUGCAAUGACUCCUGGAACCUUGCCCAACAAUCAGAUCUGCCUCAGAGGAUGAAAAGGAAGAUUUGCUACAACUGAAGAUUUUCAAAGGAAUGUGCUUCGAGCCCUGAAGGCCAUCGCCAAAGAGCAGCUCUGAGAGAACACAGAUUUCCAAGGGGCCCGCUUUCAAAGGCAUGGCAUGCAUUUUUGGAAAGUCAAGCUUUGGCGUGCUUAUUCAAAAAGAUAUUCGCAGUGCCUGUAGCAACUCUCUGCACGCUGAGCUUUUCUGUCCUUGUCAGCUCCAUUCCAGGAAGCAGGACUGAAUCUGCUGCUCCCUUGCUCUCUUUAUCCACCCCUAUAUGUGGAUGGUUGCCCCAUUUCACUCGGAUAUGAAGCGGCAGGCCUGGUGGCAGCCCUGUGAUCUUUGAGAACAUACUCUCUGGGAGCUGCAGUUCCACCUUUGUAAGCUGAGGAAAGGAAUUCACACUCCUCGGAAUGGUGAGAAGUAAAGCUGUGUCUGUUGGAGGCCUGGCAUGGAGGCCCUGGCAAGUGUUAGGAGACUGUGACUAUUACUAAUAUUAAACAAUUAACCAAUAUCUA